rnacentral:lncRNA from 1 species
UCACGCCUCACAGCUGCAGAGGGAGGGGUGGAGAUGCCCAAACCAGGAGAUCAGAUUUUGAGCCCCUGUCCGUCUGAGGCCACAGCCAGGCUGCUGCCUGAACUGGGCAGAGGUAAUGCUUGUGGGAGGACACAGUGGUCUGAGUGUGAAGGGGUAAAGCUGCUUGGGACUUGGGAUGUGUCUGGGGAAAGUGUUGAUACUGCAGAAUCCUUGAAGUGGUCGCUGUCCCUGCAGGAGACCCUAAAACUCCAUUGGCCUCAUGUCCAGAACUGAAUCAGGUUCAGCUCGUGGAAGACAUUCAGGAUCCGGUCUCGAGACUUCUGGGCCGACCGUCUCAUGAGGACCCUGCUGAGGAACUUCCUGUCGAAGUGGGACCACCUGUAGGGACAGACCUCGGGUGUGAGCCUCAGGUGACAGGCGCCCUAGAGCCCGCCGGACGCGUGGCCCGGCCCCUUCUCUCCUGAAUUUUGUUUGCUAUAGUGACCCUGUAGGCGCAUUUAAAAUGAGGGAAGCAGCCCCUGCCACACGCCCAGGCCGUCCGCCGUUCUCCCGCCUGGCCUGUUGGAUGGAGGCGGUUAGACGCACAUGAAACUGCAUGCCACCUCCUCCAGAGGGUGGCUCAGGACACGGUGGGUGUCAGGCCUGGUCGGGCAAGGGGGCUUCGGCCACGUGGGGGGCACUUUCAGGUGCACAGGAGGAAGGGCAGGGGCGGACAGACACCCUGAGCCCUUAGACUUGUGGGAGCCAAGCUGACCAGAGUGAGGUUUUUUUAGCCUAACGGAAUUAGAGUAUUCGCUGGUUAUCCGGAUCAGAAGGGACGGUGGCCUGGCCGGACUUAGAGGAAACUCUGGGGCACAAGGAGGUGAUGCCUGUCACUCUUGGACAUGGGUGCAGCCGCCAGAGCCGCCCUCCAGGGCACAGGGUGGGCCCGGGUGAGCUUGUGUGCUCACACCUGGGCAGGCCCCGCGGCAGCAAUGGCAGCUCUCCUGUACAGGCUGAGUUUCAGCCACACCAAGAAGUCAAAGCUAACUGAGGCCGUGCCUUCCGAGACCCCCGGGAUGGCCCCUGGGAGGCCAAGGAGUCAGGGACUGGGUACCUGGAGCAGAGUCACUGUGGCCACGGAGAACCACAGCUGAGCUUUAUGAAGCCACGUGGCCACACCUCCCGGUGCCUCCACCCCAAGCAAACACAGAUCGCUCAGAAAAUGGGAACCCAGGGCAAAUUGUAUGUGCUCCUUAC